UUUCCUUACGGAGGCGCAGACGCAUAAGGGCCGGCGGCUGACGACUCCGUCCCUGUCCCAUAGUGUCCGUCCCGUGUUGUCUUGUGUCCUCUCCAAGCUCACACCGAGUCCAUAGUCUUAAGGUGAUUUAGUGCAGCAGCAGGAGAUCAGGAGACAGCAUGUAAUAUAGGAAUAAAACGACUGCCACCUUUGAACACAAAUUAAACUGUUUUCAGUUUUGUCUCGAGAUUUGUUGAGCAAAAGAGGUGUAAGCAACCAGGCUCUCAAAAUGGAUAUGAUCACAAAUCUGCUGCUGAGAAAAUAAUUAGCGGAUUGAAAAACGUAGCGCUUCCGACAGAAGAUGACAUACCAAAGGAGAUGUCACAAAGGGCAGACGAAAUUCUAGCAGCUAUUCAUCUGACUGAUGAGGAAGGAAAGAAAAUAGCUCCGAAUAUUAUGAGUUUUCGUCAUCUUCGUUUUUAAUGCGCUUGGUGUCUUGACAAGUGUCAAGCAGCAACAACUUUUAAUAAUUAACCUUGCCUUGAUGUGCCGAGCUAUCAAGCAUUUAGUUUUCGAUGGUUCUGGAAAUAAAUGCUGCAUUGAUAACUGCGCCCGAGAGGCUUCGUAUAAAUCCAGUUGCCAGCACAAUAAGCUUUUUUGCAAACACUGCAUCCACAGACCUGGCCUACGUUGUGACGAAGCAGCAUGCUCUUGGUCAAGAACUCCUAUAAUAGCUUUGGAUCAAUCGGGGAAAGCACCAGCAGCUAAAGCAGUGGAUCCUAAUUUGAGCAUUGACCAUGCCAGCAUCCUGGAGGCUCAACUCUCUGCAGCUAAUCUGAGUCAACAUCCGAUGCCACCUGAGAAAAUUGAAAAAGCGAACUGCCUGCUUGCGGCUUUAUUAGUUAAUAAAGCCACACCAACUGAUAAAAUGGAAAAUGCAUUCGAGUAUUCUUUCUAGCAAUAAUGGACAUGUAUCGGAAGAAAAAAUUGACAUCACUUUCGGACAAGAGGCUUUUACUACUGCACAUGGCUGAGGUUGCAGAAAUCGUCUCUGAAAUCAUGUUCCCAGAGGGCAUGAAGUGUUCACUUUGCGAUGAGGUGUCCGAAAUGCGAUCGCUGUGCUGCCUCAAAACAUAUUAUUGUGGUCCAUGCUCACGGAAGAAAGGCAACACGUGCAUCAUGAACUGCGCUUGGAGCGGUUCGAUUUAUGACCUAUUGCCGUAAUAUUUGUUUUUUAAAUUUGUGUGCAGGAGAGCGUCUUAUUUGCUAUCAGAUGUAAAAAGAAAUUGUGUAUAUGUUUUCAGUGUAUAAUAUGAUAGCCACAAAUAACUAUUUAGUGCCUUUUCUUUGUGGGGCAACUAAUAUUAGAAUUUCAUAUACAUUUUUGUGUUCAUUAAGAUCUUGUGAUGCCCAAUAUUGAACAGUAACACCAAAUUCAAUAAUUGAAACAAAAAUCGCACAUUUUUUCAUGGUACCUAA